rnacentral:rRNA from 1 species
GAUGAACGCUAGCUACAGGCUUAACACAUGCAAGUCGAGGGACCGGCGCUCGGGUGAGUAACAAGUAUCCAACCUUCCCUUUACUCGGGGCUAGCCUUUCGAAAUUAAGAUUAAUACUCGUUGUAAAGGAUGGGGAUGCGUUCCAUUAGGUUGUUUGUGAGGUAACGGCUCACCAAGCCUUCGAUGGAUAGGGGUUCUGAGAGGAAGGUCCCCCACAUUGGAACUGAGACACGGUCCAAACUCCUACGGGAGGCAGCAGUGAGGAAUAUUGGUCAAUGGGCGUUAGCCUGAACCAGCCAAGUAGCGUGAAGGAUGAAGGGUUAUGGGUCGUAAACUUCUUUUAUAUAAGAAUAUGUAUUAAAUGAGUAAGGAUCGGCUAACUCCGUGCCAGCCGCCGCGGUAAUAC